UACGUAGGGUGCGAGCGUUUGUCCGGAAUUACUGGGCGUAAAGAGCUCGUAGGUGGUUUGUCGCGUCGGCCGUGAAAACCUGCAGCUUAACUGUGGGCUUGCGGUCGAUACGGGCAUCACUGGAGUUCGGCAGGGGAGACUGGAAUUCCUGGUGAUAGCGGUGAAAUGCGCAGACUAUCAGGAGGAACACCGGUGGCGAAGGCGGGUCUCUGGGCCGA
rnacentral:rRNA from 1 species